ensembl:lncRNA
AAUAAAUGUGCUAAGUGCCCACCUUUAACUUCAGCACACACAGCAGCAGCCAAUGGUGGGAGAUGGCAGAGCCCGUGACAAGAGGAUGAUGUCAGACUCAGCCUGAAGCACGUAGCAUCUGGCUUGCAUCACUGGCUCCGAAGGGUGCUGAGCCAAGGUGGAUGAGGCUGAGGUCUGUGAAGGCAAGGCAAGCCACUGCUGAACAUUUAGAAUUGGAGCAGAUGCCUGUUUACAGACAGCUUUGUAAGCUGAGCAGUCAUGAUGAGAGAAGAACUGGAGAAGCUUGGGCUUUGUGUGAGGUGAAAGGACACAGAGAUGCGUGGCCCAUUUCUUCAAGCAUUUUACAGUCUGGACUUCAGUGGGAGAGACAGACAUGUAAACAUGUUCUGGGUAUGAGGAUCUGGACAUCUUGGAGGGCCAUUACUUAGCCUAUCACAGAUAUGGAACAAGCAUUAUUCUUCUUCUCUUGAGAUAAGGUCUGUUGGAUAUAUGGUGAGUACUAAACAAGGAGUACUUGACAUGUUGAUGUUCUGACUAUCACCAUGUCAUUCUUGCCCCUAUUUCUUUUCAAAAUGAGAGUAUGAUUCCAAUGAAUAAGGACUUUUUCAGCUGUAUGUAAAAAAAAUGUUAGUCAUCGGAACUGUCCGAAGCUAGCAAUAGCUACCACAGAAGAUGUCCCUGUAACUGAGAUGAGAUUGUGUCCUCCCAGGGUGGACAAUGGCUUGGGGAGACACAGUAGAGAGAAAGCUCACAUCUGAGCUGAUGGUCCUUCUACUCCCAAGAUUCCAUCCUUUGGUGCUUCUGCAGAACUCCCCAGGAACUUAAAGGUCCAACAACCCUUUCUAUUUUCUCCUAAGUUUUCCUUCUACUUUUGUCAGGGGUAGUCCCCACCCCUGACCAACACUGAUAUGCUCCUUCAUAUGACAUGCCGAAGGCAAAAAUGACAAGCCAGUUUACCUUUCCUUUGGAAAUGAAUUUGCCUAUUAUGCAUGUUGGGCAUCAGCAACAAGAAUUGCUGGUAAUGGGAGGGAGAAGGUGCCAGGGUCUGAUGUUAUGGAUGUCAAAUACACUUCCCUAUGCUCCCCUCCCACCAGGAUUCAAUCUUACAUUGGGACAAAAACCCAGAAAAUCCAGAUGGUAGGUGGUAUUUAAAUCAGUUAGAUAGAUUGAGCUUGGUCUUUCUAAUGAGUGAGAAUCAUGUGACAUAAUUUGGCAUCUCUCACUACUGUUCACUCACCCAAUCUUCUCCCAAGCUUUGAAGGCAGGGGGCUUUCAAGUGCUAGGCAGGGAAGCACUUACAGAUCAGAUGAGAAGUCUAGGGCUUUUUACUGGGCUUAACUUCUGAUGAAACAUCAGACGUCAAACUGUGAUACAAGACGUUCUGCAUUGAUGCAACAAUGACCAGGGAUUGUUUAUAGUGGAGAUCCCACAGAUAUCCAGGGUGAUUUCCACCAUAGUGGAUAAUAGGAUUGCUGACAGGAUUAUCUAAGUCCAAUUACUCCUGAAGAAUAGAUAUCUUGAAAUAAGCUGUCUCCCAUAAAUUUUCCGUCAGCCUUUAAACGUGAUCAAAUUCUUUCCAUCUAAUAAUACAAAAACUAAACGAUAUCUCUUUUGAUUUGACUACUCUAUCCAACCAUAGCCUAUUCUCUUCUUUUUUUCCAAAACAAAAUUUAAAAAAGUUUCCAGAACAUUGUCUACAUUAUCCGUGUUCAUAUUCUCUACCCAAUCCAAUUGAGUUUCUUUCCUAAAAUGACUCUUGAUAAGGUUACUUCUGAUUUUUGUUACAAGAUCGCUCUCUUAGAGGAGCCAUGUAAUCUCCAGACCUGGUUAUCUAUGCAUGUGAAAAACUUUGCAUAUAUACACUAUCAUGGUUAAUUACUCUUAACACAAUCAGCAGAAAGUACUCAAUAAAUACCAGAUUAACAAAUGUAUGUACAUUUUUUGCCAGCUAAAAUCCCUCCCGCUGUUCAUCCACUAGUAUGGCUAUACGUAAAGCUGUUGCCUGAAGAGUUUAAUUUUUGUUGAGUUUCAGAAGGCAAAAAAUAAUGAUGAAGUAAUCUAGGGGAGUAGAGCUGGCUAUAUAUUGAAAUCUUAACUCAAGGUGUGGACUUAUGUAAUUGACUGUAUA